AUUAUACUCCCUACGAUCCAUAUUACUUGUGGCAGCUUUGUCUAGAUACGCAUAUAUUUAAAUGCGUUUUAUUGUGUAAGUACAUGUGUAUCUAGACAAAGCUGCAACAAGUAAUAUGGAUUGAAAGGAGUACUGA
rfam:Brachypodium distachyon strain Bd21 chromosome 3, whole genome shotgun sequence.